CGUGUGAGUAAAAAAUAGUUAUUUUCUACCGAGUAUUCUUAAACCUAGUGAAUUCAUAUUGAAUUAAAAGAUAUAUACUAAACUAAAACUAAACUAAGUUACCUAAAGCAUCUAUAACGCAAGUUAUUCCAAGCACCGAUAUCCAGAAUCCAUGUUUGCGAAACAUUACAAAGUGGAUCAUUAAUUAGCAUUGGAUAUUAGUUGGCAUCACAGGAAGGAGAGGAAGAUCUACCGUCAGGUACCGGAUUACCGUCGGUGUAGGAUAAACAGUAAACGU